rnacentral:sRNA from 1 species
GGGAAUCGUUGGCACGUCACAAUCAGGCAAAACCGCACUCGUCCAUCGAUACCUAACAGGAACAUACACACCGGAUGAGAGUCCUGAAGGUAUUUAUUUAAUAUAUAUAAUCAAUUGAUAACCUUACUUAUCAAUACACAGGUGGUCGAUUCAAAAAGGAAGUUGUGAUUGAAGGACAGAGUCAUUUAUUACUGAUUCGAGACGAAGGCCAACAACAUUUGGACGUUCAGUUUUGUCAGUGGGUCGACGCCGUUGUCUUUGUCUUCAACGUUUGCUCGAUACAAAGCUACGAUAGUAUUCAGGCGUUGGCGCAUGAGAUGAGCAAAUAUCGAAAUAUCAGUGAUUUACCUCUGAUAUUAGUUGGAACGAAGGUGAGAUUUUGGGAAAUUGCACAAAAAAUACUUAUAUAUGUAUAUCAAAACUUGAAACAAUUUUGACGGAAAGUUGAAAUUUGUCGGCUGAUAUAUGUAGAGAGUUAGAAUAUAUUUUAAUGAGAUUAUUAUCACUAUUUAAAUGUUAAAUUAAAUAUAAUAAAUUCCAAAGAAUGCAACUUUAUUUAUCAAAUAUACAUUUAUAAGCGAAAAAAAUGUCAAAGAUUUUGAUAAAUAUUUAAAAAGAAGUAGCUACUGAUCCUAAAAAUAAUUUUAAAAUAACAGAAAAAGGUGAAUAUUACGAUUAUAAGUACAAUAUUUUAAUUAAAAAUUAAAAAUUGAAAACUCUAACUUUGAGAUUCAAUUUUAUAUUAAUAUUUUACAAAAAAGCUAACUAGUCGUAUUUAAUACAAAAUUCUUCAAAAAUUGGAAAAAAAUAUGUCUACAUACAAUUUUCUCACGCUCAUUGACAUAUGGGUAGCCUGACAUACUGUCAAAGACAUGAAAAUUACAGGGAGAUAAGAAUCUCUUCUGAAAGCCUCGCUGAGCAGCUCGUGGUGCUAAUCUGCGCAGAACAAAUUAGAUGACGUGGGGUUGUAUACCGAAAAUUGCAGUUACUAUGUGUUAUUAUGGGAUUAGAGAACUGUAGAUAUAUUAUAUAGUUAAUCGGAAACUUUUGAUUUUUUGUUCAAUUCCCGAUCUAGGAAUAUUGAUUCUAGAAAUAAAAACACUCACUUUAAGAUUAAUGUUUUUAGUUCAAAAAAUAAAUUCAUGCCGAGUUUUUAGAGUUUUUCGGGUUAGGGAAACACUAUUUUUAAGCAUAGAAAAUAUAAAUGCAUAUCAGUACUUUAUAUGAUUUCAGUGAUACUGCUAGAAAAAUUUAUCAAACUUUUUAAUGGUUUUCUAAUUUGGUAAAAAACAAUUUCCGUUUUUUUUUGGAAUUUUUUUUUUUUGCAAAAUUCAAAAAAAAAAGUUUAUACAUUUUUUAUUAAACGUACUUCUAAAAAAUGUAACUAUCAAAAUACUUAUUUAGUAUUUGAUUUUUAAAAAUAAUUCUGUUUCACCAAAUUUUAAUAUUUUAUAAUAAAUUUCGAAUUAACCGAGAUUCACAAUAAUUUAAAAAAAAUCAUCAAUUUUUUUUUCAGGACCACAUAUCAGAAAAACGAGCUCGUGUGAUCACCGAGGACGAGGGACGUCAACUGGCCGCUCAAAUGAAGCGAUGUUCGUAUUUUGAAACGUCGAGCACUUAUGGAACAAAUGUGGAGAGAGUUUUCAAAGAAG